GGGGUCGUUACGGAUUCGACAGGCACUAUGAGAUACAUUCUGCGACUCAUCGGCAGAUGUAAAAAUGCCAGUUAAAUAUAACUGCAAAAAAUACAAAUUCUUACGCUGUAGCUGCCUAAAAACCAGCUCGCGUGAUCUCUACAGGAUUGCUUGUGUUUUGCUAGAGGUUUCAUUGAUUAGCAAGCUACGUUUGAUUAUUGCCUAGCUAGUCAAAAAGAGAUUUAUAGGCUCGCUUAAUCUAGGUUUGAGUUAUGUAUCGAGCUUAAGUUAAAUCAAAGACAUAACCUAUGGUUGUAGACGAAUGUAUUGGCAGGUGUUUGGACGUGGGUUCGACUCCCACCGGCUCCAUAA
rnacentral:tmRNA from 1 species